rnacentral:snRNA from 1 species
GUCACUUCUGAGACAUCUGAUAAAAUUAUAACAAUACACAGAAGAUUAACAUUGCCAGAAGAAUGACAUGCACAAAUGAAAUAAAUAAAUGGGUCAA